CAGAGAUAGCUGGAAGACAUUUCUAUUCAAACUGACAACAACUGAGAACCUUUUAAACACAAAGUCUGUAGGUGUUUUUAAGCCCUAUCUUUAGUCUGUAGGUGUUUUUAAGCCCUAACUUUAGUCUGUAGGUGUUUUUAAGCCCUAUCUUUAGUCUGUAGGUGUUUUUAAGCCCUAUCUUUGGUCUGUAGGUGUUUUUAAGCCCUAACUUUAGUCUGUAGGUGUUUUUAAGCCCUAACUUUAGUCUGUAGGUGUUUUUAAGCCCUAUCUUUAGUCUGUAGGUGUUUUUAAGCCCUAACUUUAGUCUGUAGGUGUUUUUAAGCCCUAUCUUUAGUCUGUAGGUGUUUUUAAGCCCUAUCUUUAGUCUGUAGGUGUUUUUAAGCCCUAACUUUAGUCUGUAGGUGUUUUUAAGCCCUAUCUUUAGUCUGUAGGUGUUUUUAAGCCCUAACUUUAGUCUGUAGGUGUUUUUAAGCCCUAUCUUUAGUCUGUAGGUGUUUUUAAGCCCUAACUUUAGUCUGUAGGUGUUUUUAAGCCCUAACUUUAGUCUGUAGGUGUUUUUCAGCCCUAUCUUUAGUCUGUAGGUGUUUUUAAGCCCUAUCUUUAGUCUGUAGGUGUUUUUAAGCCCUAACUUUAGUCUGUAGGUGUUUUUAAGCCCUAUCUUUAGUCUGUAGGUGUUUUUAAGCCCUAUCUUUAGUCUGUAGGUGUUUUUAAGCCCUAACUUUGGUCUGCAGGUUUUAAAGCCCUAACUUUAGUCUGUAGGUGUUUUUAAGCCCUAACUUUGGUCUGCAGGUUUUAAAGCCCUUACGUUUGGCUUUGGUUCGGUGGUUUUCACAUGUUCAGCUAUGGCAUAUGGCUGGGAUGUUUAGGUGUACCCAUGUAGUGUAAAGUUG